GGGUUGCUACGUUGUGUUGAUUUAAAAUUUCAAGGAGGAACAAAAACAUUCUAGCCAAGGAGAAUUGCAUUGUUAUUUUUUUUUCUACUAAUUUAAACGUGCAUUUUUCACAGUUACACAUUUAAGUUUUGCUACCAAAAAUGGCCAUUUUUCUAGACAGAUAACAUUUUCCUAAAGUGGAAGAGAGAUCCACUGUUCUAAAAAAAAAAAAAAAAAAAAACACUAAAUUGUGCCUUCUCCCUUAAAUUAUAAGAAGAGUAAUAGUAAAAACUUGUUUAAACUAUAUUUUCUUUUUUUCUAAUCCCUCUCAGUUCUCCUUAGAUCUGCCUCCUACAAAUGAUCAUGUUGUUUGCAUCUGCCUGAUUGAGUUCCCUUGGUCAAACCUCUCCCUAUCACUAUCAGAAGUUGUUCACUAAAUGUAUUUUCCUAUUUCUUUCAUGUUGAUUGACUUUAUAAGUCACCUUGGUAAACAUAACAUUUGGCUACCUUCUCAUGCUUUAUAAAUGAAUUUGAUGAAUGGCAGUUUUUAUAUUUUAACCCUUUAAAAAGUUUGUCAAGGAAACAACUCAGAGCUAAGAACAAAAUCUAACUUGGAAUCAGUUUCUUCCUUUGGCUGCUGAAGCAGCAGCAAGUCACGUAACCUCAUUUAGUUUUUUGAUUUACAAAAUGUGGAUAAUAACCUACCUCACAGAUGUGUGUGAGCAACUGUUUGAAAGCCCUUGUUUAAAUACAGGGUUUAUAUCCCCACAUUCAAUGUAAAUUCCUUUUUUUAAAAAAAAUAAGUAUCUUUGAUACUGAUAGGAUGAGUAUCUUGAUUUUUAGGUAAGAUCACAGUUUCACAAAUUGUGGUGUUGUUAGGUGACAUUUAAUAUUUCUUGAGACCUCAAGUAUUCAAAUAUCAAACUUGUCCUGUGUUGUAACAAAUAUUCAGAAUCUCUUAAAAUGUUGGCUGAAGCUGCCUUAAUGUACCAAAAUACAGCUCUCAAGACUGUUCACAAAUAUCUGUGGUUGUACAAUGUUUUGAACAUUUAAUGUAAAGUUGUUGUAGAACUGUGAACUCUAAGGAUAGUAUCUUUAUUGUUUUAGGAAGAAUGGUUGUGUUCUUUGUCAUGUAUGCUUAAAUAUACAGUGGAUUUUGAAUGCAACAAAUAAAACUGAAAACAGCCAUUUGGUUGUGUCAUGACAAUCAUAAUAUAGGAUAUAAUAUUUACUUUUUUUCAAAAACAUCCUGCAUUCAUUCAUUCUUAGCAUACCUUUGAAAAAGAAAAAAAAAUCCAUAGGUUGAUACAUUGACCCAUUGAAGUACUUCAUUACGUAUUUAUUGAAAAUUUUUUUUAAUUGUUGAAAUUGGGACCACUUUUUAUAAUUGGUUUCAAGAAAAAAAAAUGAACAGACUUCCAGUGCUUUUCUGUUCAAAUAAACUCCGAUUCAAAUUUCAGUUUUGUUUGUUAUAUACUUUUUGUGAGUGUUAAAUGAUAUGGGAAGGAUUUGUCUUUCAUUAACCAUAUGGAAAAGAUGUCUUCCUGAAUUACAUAGCAUUUCAUAGUUACAGAUUCUUCCUAAUUAAUGUUUGCACCAUAUGAAACUCAUAGGUAACAAACACAAAGGAGAAAAGCAGCCUGUCUGAUUGCUUAUAAGCUUUUUUCACAAAAUCAAAUUAAAAGUCUCUGAUUCAUUUGAAAGCUA
rnacentral:tRNA from 10 species